GAGUUUUACUAAGUGAACCUGAGGUUUUUCUCUUCCGCCAAAUAGGCCAGGCAAUCCAGUGUUGGACGUCUGUGACCCUCGCCCACCAGACGCAGGGAUCGAUAUCCACUCAAGCAGGACCUGCAGUGACGACAGGUGAGGGCCACACGAGUCAAAACCCAGCCCAAGCCACCGUGGGAAGGCUUGCCAAGCUCACCUCUC
rnacentral:lncRNA from 1 species